GGGAGUGAAAUAGAACCUGAAACCCUGCACUUACAAGCUGUGGAAGCACAUUUCUUGUGUGACCGCGUACUUUUUGUAGAACGGGCCAACGAGUUACGUUAAGUAGCAAGGUUAAGCACUUAAGGUGCGGAGCCGUAGCGAAAGCGAGUUUUAACUGAGCGUUCAGUUACUUGACGUAGACCCGAAACCGGGCGACCUACCCAUGAGCAGGAUGAAGCGAAAGUAAAAUUUCGUGGAGGUCCGAACCCACGAGCGUUGAAAAGCUCGGGGAUGACUUGUGGGUAGCGGUGAAAUUCCAAUCGAGCCCGGAGAUAGCUGGUUCUCCCCGAAAUAGCUUUAGGGCUAGCCUCAAGGUGAGAGAUACGGAGGUAGAGCACUGAAUGUCCUAGGGGGUAUUGCACCUACCGAAGACUAUCAAACUCCGAAUGCCGUCAUCUUAUACUUGGGAGUCAGACUGUGGGUGAUAAGAUUCAUAGUCGAAAGGGCAACAGCCCAGAUCGUCAGCUAAGGUCCCUAAAUGUAAGUUAAGUGGUAAAGGAUGUGGGAUUGCACAGACAACCAGGAUGUUGGCUUAGAAGCAGCCACUCAUUCAAAGAGUGCGUAAUAGCUCACUGGUCGAGUGAUCCUGCGCCGAAGAUUUCCGGGGCUAAAACUUACUACCGAAGCUACGGCAUCAGUAAUGAUGGGUAGGGGAGCUUCCCAUACGGGUUGAAGCAUGACCGUAAGGACAUGUGGACAGUAUGGGAGUGAGAAUGUUGGCAUGAGUAGCGAGAUGUGGGUGAGAAUCCCACAGGCCGUAAACCCAAGGUUUCCAGGGGAAGGUUCGUCCGCCCUGGGUUAGUCGGGACCUAAGCUGAGGCCGAAAGGCGUAGGUGAUGGACAACAGGUUGAUAUUCCUGUACUACCGAU
rnacentral:rRNA from 1 species